UACGGAGGGUGCGAGCGUUGAUCGGAAUUACUGGGCGUAAAGCGCACGCAGGCGGUUUGUUAAGCUAGAUGUGAAAGCCCCGGGCUCAACCUGGGAUGGUCAUUUAGAACUGGCAGACUAGAGUCUUGGAGAGGGGAGUGGAAUUCCAGGUGUAGCGGUGAAAUGCGUAGAUAUCUGGAGGAACAUCAGUGGCGAAGGCGACUCCCUGGCCAAAGACUGACGCUCAUGUGCGAAAGUGUGGGUAGCGAACAGG
rnacentral:rRNA from 1 species